UACGGAGGGGGCUAGCGUUGUUCGGAAUUACUGGGCGUAAAGCGCACGUAGGCGGCUUUGUAAGUCAGAGGUGAAAUCCCAGUGCUCAACACUGGAACUGCCUUUGAGACUGCAUCGCUUGAAUCCAGGAGAGGUGAGUGGAAUUCCGAGUGUAGAGGUGAAAUUCGUAGAUAUUCGGAAGAACACCAGUGGCGAAGGCGGCUCACUGGACUGGUAUUGACGCCGAGGUGCGAAAGCGUGGGGAGCAAACAGG
rnacentral:rRNA from 1 species